UACGUAAGGUGCGAGCGUUGUCCGGAAUUAUUGGGCGUAAAGGGCUCGUAGGCGGUCUGUUGCGUCAGGAGUGAAAACUCGGGGCUUAACCCCGAGCCUGCUUCUGAUACGGGCAGACUAGAGGUAUGCAGGGGAGAACGGAAUUCCUGGUGUAGCGGUGAAAUGCGCAGAUAUCAGGAGGAACACCGAUGGCGAAGGCAAGUCUCUGGGCCACUACUGACGCUGAGAAGCGAAAGCAUGGGGAGCGAACAGG
rnacentral:rRNA from 1 species